UUUGUAUAGUUUAAUAAAAAACUUUACUUUUUCAUUGUAAAAUUAAAUACCUAUAUUUUAUAA
rnacentral:tRNA from 1 species